rnacentral:rRNA from 1 species
GACGAACCGUGCGAACGUUAUUCGGAAUCACUGGGCUUAAAGCGCGUGUAGGCGGGACGGCACGUCGGUCGCUGAAAGCCCCCCGGCUCAACCGGGGAACGGGCGCCGAUACGACCGGCCUGGAGGGACGUAGGGGGACCUGGAACUUCCGGUGGAGCGGUGAAAUGCGUUGAGAUCGGAAGGAACGCCCGUGGCGAAAGCGGCUUCCUGGUCCAGCACCGACGUUCAGGCACGAAAGCGUGGGGAGCAAACAGG